rnacentral:lncRNA from 1 species
GAAGAUUUAGUCACAUAUUACUUAAUUAUGCAAUUAUAAUGUGUGCCUUUUCGGAGCAGAAGGGCCUGGUUGGGAAUCACUAAAUCCUAGUUCUUCUUUACACCUUUCCUUUCCCUGACUGUGUCUCCUUUCUGUGGAUCCAGCCAGCAGGAUAACCUCUGCUGUGACUCUGUUCCCUGUGCCCUGAAGGACCUUAGAAAGUCCAUGACUUUAUCGCAGAGGCUUUGGGAGAGGAAGUGUGCAGGGGCUGGCAAGUCCUGGGGACUCUGGAGCUGUGGUGUGUGCCUCACCCUGCAUGUUUUACACAUCACUCCUUCCUCUUAGGGAAAGCUUCUUAGAAGUAGAGCAGCUCUCAGAGCCAUGGCAGAGCCUUUUGCUAAAUUCCCAGGUUGGAUCUCAAAAGCAGAGUGACCUUUAACCCUGUGGAGUUUUACUUGUAUGUCUUCCUAACACGCAUGAGAAAACUGAGGCCAAGGGAAGGGGGUUGGCCAGCUUCCCAGCUCACACAGCUCUGCUGGAACUUCUACCUGUCUAGUCUGUCAGUCACAGUCAUGGCAGCCAAAACACACAAAACAGGAACUUCUGCCCUUAAUUAGGUUGCACCAUGCAGAAGUGUGACUGGGUUCUUCUGUUUGAAUCAGUCCCUUGUAACCCCAGAUAAUCUGUCAAACACAAUUUGACAGAACAAAUUUUGGUUGCUCUUAAAUGCACUGGAAGUACCUGGGGACUGCCACAUUCAUCCAGGGGAACAGUGAU